UGGAUGGGCCACUAUCUUGUG
rnacentral:siRNA from 1 species